rnacentral:rRNA from 1 species
GACGUAGGCGCGAGCGUUUGUCCGGAUUUAUUGGGCGUAAAGAGCUCGUAGGCGGCUUGUCGCGUCGUCCGUGAAAACCUGCAGCUCAACUGCAGGCUUGCGGUCGAUACGGGCAGGCUGGAGUUCGGUAGGGGAGACUGGAAUUCCUGGUGUAGCGGUGAAAUGCGCAGAUAUCAGGAAGAACACCCGUGGCUAAGGCGGCUCUCUAGUACGGUACUGACGCUGAGACGCGAAAGCGUGGGGAGCGAACAGG